CCUACGGUAGGCAGCAGUGAGGAAUAUUGGUCAAUGGACGAGAGUCUGAACCAGCCAAGUCGCGUGAAGGAUGACUGCCCUAUGGGUUGUAAACUUCUUUUAUAUGGGAAUAAAACGUUCCACGUGUGGGAUUUUGUAUGUACCCUAUGAAUAAGGAUCGGCUAACUCCGUGCCAGCAGCCGCGGUAAUACGGAGGAUCCGAGCGUUAUCCGGAUUUAUUGGGUUUAAAGGGAGCGUAGGUGGAUCGUUAAGUCAGUUGUGAAAGUUUGCGGCUCAACCGUAAAAGUGCAGUUGAAACUGGGAGUCUUGAGUACAGGAGAGGUGGGCGGAAUGCGUGGUGUAGCGGUGAAAUGCUUAGAUAUCACGAAGAACUCCGAUUGCGAAGGCAGUUCACUGGACUGCAACUGACACUGAGGCUCGAAAGUGUGGGUAUCAAACAGGAUUAGAUACCCGAGUAGUC
rnacentral:rRNA from 1 species